rnacentral:rRNA from 1 species
UACGUAGGGUGCGAGCGUUGUCCGGAAUUAUUGGGCGUAAAGAGCGCGUAGGCGGUCCGAUAAGUCGGCUGUGAAAGUCAGGGGCUCAACCCUGGAAUGCCGGUGGAUACUGUCGGGCUAGAGUCCGGAAUGGGCGAGUGGAAUUCCUGGUGUAGCGGUGAAAUGCGCAGAUAUCAGGAGGAACACCAAUGGCGAAGGCAGCUCGCUGGGACGUGACUGACGCUGAGACGCGAAAGCGUGGGGAGCAAACAGG